rnacentral:lncRNA from 10 species
CGCUUCUCCGCCACGCCGGCACCGGCGCUGUGUGCCUUUGCAAGGGCGGAGCUGCGUUCUCCUCGGCACAGACCCGGAGAGCAUUGCGAGGGCGGAGCUGCGUUCUGCUCUGCAUAGACCUUGGGGCACUGCCUCGCUUUGGGACAACUCGGGGCCGCAUCGACGGUGAAUAAAAUCCUUCCUGUUUGCAGCCAUGUUUGUGGUUGGUGGCAGCGAUGGACACUGCAGCCAGCCAGUGUAGAAAGGCAUUGGGUGAAAGAAGAUUGCCACGGAGACAGACAGCAGCAUGGUCAGUGUGGUAGGAGCCGGCCAUCAGCGAGAGCUGCUCCAUGCCUGGCUGCUGGGAGCUAGAGCCUGCGGCCCACUGGCUUGCCUCACUGUAGUUGGUGGUGGCAGUGACAGAGACUGCAGCAUGACCAGAGUGGCUUUUCUGGCUUUGCCCGCCCAGCUGCUCCAUGCCAGGAGGAGGAGGAGACACCUAGAGCCUGCAACACCACGGCUCACCUCGCUGCAGGUGGGUGGCAGUGACGGAGACUGCAGUGCGCCAGAGCGGU